CGGAUUUGCGACCUAUGUGACGAGCACCAGCGCCACACCAACGAACUCGCCGCCACCAUUCCCGCCGCGCAACGUGACGGCCGCACCGGGCGCCGCCGGAGUCGCGGUUUCAUGGGAAGCGCCGGAGGGCGGUGGAGCAACGAGCUACGCCCUAAUGCAGUACGACCUGACUACCGGAGCGAUCCAGUGGGCGACGGCUCCGACACGCGCGAAAAUGUUUGUGGGCCUCGCCAACGGCGACACCUACGUCUAUUUCGUCGGCUCAGUCGGCACUAACGGCACCAGCGGUUUGGCGACGAGCAACGACGCCACGCCAACGCCUGGGCUGGGCCUCUUGCUCGAUCCCAGCAACGU
rnacentral:misc_RNA from 1 species